UUGACAGAGAGAAUGGGAGGCGAAGCUACGAUGCAUUUUCAGGAAUAAAGAAAUAGAAUGGCAGAGGCAAGAGAGAGUCCAAACGGCAUCUCUCUGCACUGAGAGUGGGCUUUUCACUGCUUUAAAUGGGUAUUUUUAUCAAAGCAUUAUCGCCAUCUUCUUUUUUGCCCAUCCGAUCGCUCAAACGCCAUUGUUUUGGCGAUGGUGUGAUCUCGGCCGUUGGACUCUCCCGAACUUGUUAGAAAGUAGAAACGUGACGCAAAACAUAAUCCACACUGUUUUUCGUCAUUUCAUUAUUUAUUUAAUUACUGUAACCUAUCAUUUUAAGUACUAUACUAUAAAAGAACUAUUCUCAAACAGGCAUGUGUUAUGAUGCUGCCAAACCCACUCA
rnacentral:lncRNA from 1 species